AGGAAUAUUGGUCAAUGGACGGAAGUCUGAACCAGCCAUGCCGCGUGCAGGAUGACGGCUCUAUGAGUUGUAAACUGCUUUUGUACGAGGGUAAACCCGAAUACGUGUAUUCGGCUGAAAGUAUCGUACGAAUAAGGAUCGGCUAACUCCGUGCCAGCAGCCGCGGUAAUACGGAGGAUCCAAGCGUUAUCCGGAUUUAUUGGGUUUAAAGGGUGCGUAGGCGGUUAGAUAAGUUAGAGGUGAAAUUCCGGUGCUUAACACCGGCGCUGCCUCUAAUACUGUUUGACUAGAGAGUAGUUGCGGUAGGCGGAAUGUAUGGUGUAGCGGUGAAAUGCUUAGAGAUCAUACAGAACACCGAUUGCGAAGGCAGCUUACCAAGCUAUAUCUGACGUUGAGGCACGAAAGCGUGGGGAGCAAACAGGAUUAGAUACCCUGGUAGUCCACGCAGUAAACGAUGAUAACUCGUUGUCGGCGAUACAAUGUCGGUGACUAAGCGAAAGCGAUAAGUUAUCCACCUGGGGAGUACGUUCGCAAGAAUGAAACUCAAAGGAAUUGACGGGGGCCCGCACAAGCGGAGGAACAUGUGGUUUAAUUCGAUGAUACGCGAGGAACCUUACCCGGGCUUGAAAGUUAGUGACGGACUUGGAAACAAGUCUUCCCUUCGGGGCACGAAACUAGGUGCUGCAUGGUUGUCGUCAGCUCGUGCCGUGAGGUGUCGGGUUAAGUCCCAUAACGAGCGCAACCCCUACCGUUAGUUGCCAGCAUUAAGUUGGGGACUCUGGCGAGACUGCCGGUGACAAGCCGGAGGAAGGCGGGGAUGACGUCAAAUCAUCAUGCCCCUUAUGACUUGGGCUACACACGUGCUACAAUGGCGUAAACAAAGGGAAGCAAAGCUGUGAAGCCGAGCAAAUCUCAAAAAUAACGUCUCAGUUCGGACUGUAGUCUGCAACCCGACUACACGAAGCUGGAAUCGCUAGUAAUCGCAGAUCAGAAUGCUGCGGUGAAUACGUUCCCG
rnacentral:rRNA from 1 species